rnacentral:rRNA from 1 species
UAGUGGCGGACGGGUGAGUAACGCGUGGGAAUCUGCCCUCAGGAGGGGGAUAACGGUUGGAAACGACCGCUAAUACCCCAUAUGCCGAGAGGUGAAACGAAAUUCGCCUGAGGAUGAGCCCGCGUCUGAUUAGCUAGUUGGUGGGGUAAAGGCCUACCAAGGCAUCGAUCAGUAGCUGGUCUGAGAGGAUGAUCAGCUACACUGGGACUGAGACACGGCCCAGACUCCUACGGGAGACAGCAGUGGGGAAUUUUCCGCAAUGGGCGCAAGCCUGACGGAGCAACGCCGCGUGAGGGAUGAAGGCCUCUGGGCUGUAAACCUCUUUUCUCAAGGAAGAAGAACUGACGGUACUUGAGGAAUAAGCCACGGCUAA